UCAAAAUCAUUUGCGUAACGUAAAUAUGGCGGACGUGACGUCAUCAGCCGCCUUCAUCCGGGGACCGAGACCCUGGACCUUCCCUCCUCCCAGUGCCCUUCCAUCAGUAUUUAGUGUUAUUUCCUAUAUUUUCCAGCUGUUUUCAUGCAUAGAGAAGAAUAGAAAGAGGAGGAAAGAAGGAGAAAUGAAGAAGGAGGAGGAAGAAGAGGGAAGGGAAGGAGGAAGAGGAGAAGGAAAAGAAGAAAUAUUAAGAAAAGAUUUUCACUGAAUUUCCAGCGUUUUAAAGAGCAACGGCAACCCUCCGAUCCGGCAAGCAGGUUGGCGGCAGCGAUGGCGGUGGCGGCAGCAGCGGUGGUGAGGUGGACGGCAGGGACGGAGGGGCGGUACAGGCUGCGGACAUCAAGGAGAAAAAGAACGUGCGGAGAAGCAAGGUGGCAUUCAGCAGUGUGAUCCUGGACCUGGUCGGCUUGACGGUGGUGGUGCCUCUGUCUCCUGCUCUCUUUGACUGUUACUCCAAGCACGACUCCAGCGGCUUGUAUUCCUCUGUGCUCUCCUGUGUGACUUGUUACCAGCAUAUCAUCGGCGUCCCUGCGAGGUUCCACUCUGUCUUGUUUGGUGGUAUGUGGGGCCUAAUGAUGAUGAUUCCUGCUUUCAUCCUCAUCGGGGCUAACGAGACCAACCUGGGGCUGUACUCUGGACUGACGCUGUAUGCCAUAGUGCCUUGAGGUGCCAAUCAUUUCUGAAGUUUAUGAAAGCAGAAACGGCUCUCCAGAAUAUGAUUUUUACCCUAGAUCUUCCCUUCAGCGGACUAGAGGAUAAAGGCCCCCACACACGGAGCGAUUUUAGAAGCGCGACUUGAGAAGCGUAUUCUGGGUUGCCCCCACACACACGGCAACUGGUGCAGUGACAGCAUAUCCCCUCCCCCGCCAUACCCCCCAUCCCCGCUACUGUAUCCACGUGGACUGCCAUCUCAUUCACCAAUGACGCGGGAAUAAAGAUCAGUCUGCCUGACUCCGCUUGGUAGUGAUGGAGGUCGAGGAAGCAGCCUGUCUUUGGAUGCUGUAUCGUCGCUGCCAAAGGCGAAAAAAGAAAGUGAGAGAGAGUGAUGUCAUCCCAAAUGGCUGGACGUUUUUCUAUUUCAUCUAUUAAUAAUUCGGUAUCAAAGCGGUCAGCAGAUCCCUGGUCACUCAUCUUGCUAUGCGUGGUUGUGAUGCACUACCCCAAGCCGGAUGUUACCAGUUACCCAGCACUGCCCCACCCAACUGCCCCGCGCUCGGACUCCACGUGGAGGAAAACUCUGCCUGAUCGCUCAUUGGCUCUAGUGUCACCCCUACCAGCCAAUGAGAUGCAAGUAGUGAUGAAAUCGCGGGAAGCAGUCGCCUCGUGUGAACGGCCUCAUAGAAACACAUGUUAACCGAGUCGCUCAAAAGUCGCGCUUCACCGAGGGAUAUCUCGAG